rnacentral:rRNA from 1 species
CCCUUAGAGUUUGAUCCUGGCUCAGGACGAACGCUGGCGGCGUGCUUAACACAUGCAAGUCACGGGGGGUAGCAAUACCAACCGGCGAACGGGUGCGUAACACGUGAGCAACCUACCGAUUUGUGGGGGAUAGCUGGCCUAACGGCCAGGUAAUACCGCAUACGCUUUUCUGGUCACCUGACCGGAUAAGGAAACCUCCGGGGCAAAUCGAGGGGCUCGCGGCCUAUCAGCUAGUUGGUGCGGUCACGGCGCACCAAGGCGACGACGGGUAGCUGGUCUGAGAGGAUGGCCAGCCACAUUGGGACUGAGAAACGGCCCAGACUCCUACGGGAGGCAGCAGUGGGGAAUCUUGCGCAAUGGGCGAAAGCCUGACGCAGCGACGCCGCGUGGGGGAUGACGGGUUUCGGCUUGUAAACCCCUGUUGCCCGGGACGAACUUCCUCUUUCGAGAGGAUUGACGGUACCGGGUGAGGAAGCACCGGCUAACUCUGUGCCAGCAGCCGCGGUAAUACAGAGGGUGCGAGCGUUGUCCGGAAUCACUGGGCGUAAAGGGCGCGUAGGUGGCGGCCCAAGUCUGUGGUGAAAGCUCGUCGCUCAACGACGAGUCGGCCACGGAUACUGGGUUGCUCGAGCACUGUAGGGGCAGAUGGAAUUCCGGGUGUAGCGGUGGAAUGCGUAGAGAUCCGGAAGAACACCGGUGGCGAAGGCGGUCUGCUGGGCAGUUGCUGACACUGAGGCGCGACAGCGUGGGGAGCAAACAGAUUAGAUACCCUGGUAGUCCACGCCGUAAACGAUGGGCACUAGAUGCUUGGGGAGCGACCCCCUGAGUGUCGUCGCUAACGCAGUAGUGC